UAUACAUUGACCAACUACGGUUAUAAAAGUAUUGACGUGUGGAAGUCAUAAAUUUACCAUUUAAAGGUAUUAAAAAUUACCGAGGUGUAAAACCAAUUAAAUGACCAUAUCAUGGUUUUAAAAGCUUAUUGAAGUAUAGAGCUUAUAAACUGACCAACACAAAUUAUUUGAAAUGCAGUUAGCUGACGUCACAAACCUUCUGGUUACCUAUUUCCUUGUUGUUGACAGAAGAUUUUCCCACAGCCUCGUCGAUGCUUUGAAAGCACGAGAAUAAUCAACAGCAAAACCAGGACGAUGGGGCAGACGAUGGCAGCAAUAGUCAUCGAUCCAAGCUUGCUCCCUUCUCUUGAAGUACAUGCUGGAGAACCUUCCCACGUCAUACUCAAUGGUCAAGUUGACCUCCCCGAGCUGGUGAUCUGGUCCAGAAAACAUGGUCAGGUUUACAAUCGUCUGCCUCAUGUCUCG